AUUAGAAUUCUAACCUGCUGAGUUUUAACAUGUACCAAGAAAUAUCAGGUGUGGAGAUAAGGGAUGGUUUAUCUACUCCCUCUUUUCCUUUCAUUCUUUGAACGGCAUCAAGUUCUCAAUUUGUUAUGCAUUGCAACACUUUUCCAAUGACCUACUUUAGUGGAAGGAAAAUUUGAACAACACCGGCAGACAGGGAGAACAUCAUGUGAAGACUGGAGUUAUGUUGACAGGCCAAGGAACUACCAGAAGUUAGGAGAGUGGCCAAGAGCCUUCAGAGGGAAUACAGCCCUGACGACACUUCUAGCCUUCAGAACUGUGAGACAAUAAAGUUCUGGAGGAUUUUGUUUGUUUGUUUGUUUUAGAGACAGGGUCUUAUUCUGUUGCCUAUCUGAGUGCAGCUGCACGAUCAUAGCUCACUGCAGUCUUGAACUCCCAGGCUCAAGUGAUCCUUUCCCCACUACCGGUGGCUGGGAUUAUGGGUGCAAGCCAUCGUGCUUGGCCAAUUUCUGUUGUUCAAGCUGCCCAGUCUGUUACGGCAGCCCUAGCAAGCUAAUACAUCAAGAACAAACAAAACACAAGUCAGAGUUAAGAAUGGAGACAUCUGAAACAGCAUCAGGGUGAACAAUGAAAAGACGGCAGACUGACACCGAUUCCUAACUUAUCUUUCUCAGGAGCUGACACAAGAUAGGUUGUCAAGAAAUUCAUACUUUUUAUUUUUGUUAAGCACUCUCCACAUAAAUCUUACCUAAGUACAGUAGUCACCCACUCCCUUAUCCCUGGUGGGUAUGUCCUAAGACCCAGAUGGUAUCGAACCUUAAAUACACUGUUUUUUCCUAUACCAUACAUACCUAUGAUAACGUUUCACUUAUAAAUUAGGCACAGUAAGAGAUUAACACCAAUAACUCCUAAUAAAAUAGAACAGGCCGGGCGCUGUGGCUCAUGCCUGGAAUCACAACACUGGGCGGCCAAGGUGGGGCGGAUCACCCGGGAUCAGGAGUUCAAGACCAGCCUGGCCAACAUGGCGAAACUCCAUCUCUACUGAAAAUACAAAAACUAGCCAGGUGUGGUGACAGGUGCCUGUAAUCCCACUACUUGGAAGGCUGAGGCAGGAGAAUCACUUGAACCUGGAAGACGGAGGUUGUAGUGAGCCGAGACUGUGCCACUGCACUCCUGCCUGGGCUACA